UACGUAGGGUGCAAGCGUUGUCCGGAAUUAUUGGGCGUAAAGAGCUCGUAGGCGGUUUGUCGCGUCUGCUGUGAAAACUCGGGGCUUAACUCCGGGCCUGCAGUGGGUACGGGCAGACUAGAGUGCGGUAGGGGAGACUGGAAUUCCUGGUGUAGCGGUGAAAUGCGCAGAUAUCAGGAGGAACACCGGUGGCGAAGGCGGGUCUCUGGGCCGUAACUGACGCUGAGGUGCGAAAGCGUGGGGAGCAAACAAG
rnacentral:rRNA from 1 species